rnacentral:ribozyme from 1 species
CCAACGACAAGAGAGAAAGAUCUACAGGUCUAAAGAUAACGACGAAAAUUGGGUGGUAUAAUUAUUUGUCUCUUGUGGAACAUCACAUCAUUUUUCUUUCAU